UCUACGGGUGGCAGCAGUGAGGAAUAUUGGUCAAUGGACGAGAGUCUGAACCAGCCAAGUAGCGUGAAGGAUGACUGCCCUAUGGGUUGUAAACUUCUUUUAUAUGGGAAUAAAAUGUUCCACGUGUGGGAUUUUGUAUGUACCAUAUGAAUAAGGAUCGGCUAACUCCGUGCCAGCAGCCGCGGUCAUACGGAGGAUCCGAGCGUUAUCCGGAUUUAUUUGGGUGAAAGGGAGCGUAGGUGGAUUGUUAAGUCAGUUGUGAAAGUUUGCGGCUCAACCGUAAAAUUGCAGUUGAAACUGGCAGUCUGGAGUACAGUAGAGGUGGGCGGAAGACGUGGUGGAGCGGUGAAAUGCUUAGAUAUCACGAAGAACUCCGAGUGCGAAGGCAGUUCACUGGACUGCAACUGACACUGAGGCUCGAAAGUGUGGGUAUCAAACAGGAUUAGAUACACCGGUAGUC
rnacentral:rRNA from 1 species